UCAAAUACACAUUGAGUACCUACAGAGUAAGACCAUGUAGUAUAUUAUUACUAACAAGACAAAAAUAAUUCCUGCCCUCAGAGAACUGAAAGUCAGUACGGCCCAAGAAGUUAAUGGUGAAACAAUGAAAUAUUACAAACUGAGCUAUGCAUAAUAGGUGACCUAUGGAAAUGACUUUUAAUGGGAGAGGGAAUUUAAGGGAUGAAUACUUAUCAACAAAAGCACUGUCUGUGGCUCCCAGACAUUAAAGUCUAGAACACUUAGCUAGGGCUCUGACACAAGAAACUAUACAGUCAAUUCUCAUUACUGAUGGUAAUUAUGUUUUAUAAAGUCAUUGUGUACACUGAGUUAUUGAAUACUGAGUCACUGCACCUAGACAAAAUAAAUGGUUAAGUUCCUGUAGGCCUCUGGUCAUAUUUUCUUUUUUUUUUUUUUUUAAUAAACUCUCAGCCAGUAGAAGAUGAUCUAGUCAUAUCUUCAUUAACCAAUCAAUAUAUAACCUUCCAGAUCGACAUACAUACAAUAUAAAACCUUUUAGGUAUGUUUCUGUUUAAAAACACCUUAUUUAAAAUAAAUAACUGAUCCAUUAACACUGAAUUAUAGUCGACAGCAUUACAACUCACGCCUAAACAAAACUUCCCUACACAUUCCUUGUAAGGUAAUCAAAGCCUUCUUGUGUUUAAAAACACCAGGCAGCACUUCAAUACAACAUUUGGGGGCCAUUUUAAGCAUCAAAAUCACCAACAAGGCCAGGCACAGUGGCUAACACCUGUAAGCGGUCUCAAAAAAAUUAAAAAAUAGGCUUCUGGUGGCCGGCUUCAUUGGGAACUAUGGCUAAACAUCAUCCUAAUUUGAUCUUUUGCUGCAAGCCGGCUGGUGUUGUCAUCGGAAGAUUGUGUGAAAAAUGUGAUAGCAAGUGUGUGAUUUGUGACUCCUUUGUGUGUCCCUGCACUCUGGUGUGCAUAUGUGAUGAGUGUAACUACGUAUCUUACCAGGGGUGCUGUGUGAUCUGUGGAGGCCCUGGGGUCUCUGGUGCCUAUUACUGUAAGGAGUGCACCAUCCAGGAGGAAGGAUAGAGAUGGCUGCCCAAAGAUUAUCAAUCUGGGGAGCUCUUAAGACAGACCUCUUCUAUGAACACAAAAAAUUCAGCUUCAAGAAGAGGUGAUUGGUGGGUGGCCCCUUCCUCCCCCACAACAUUAAGCUGCUGCAGCGGCUAGAAAAGAUGCCUACUACUCCCGGCAGAAAGGGAGCAGAGCCCAGAGCAUCACCAGGAGUGCCUGCUAGUGUACUGGCAGCUUGCCACCCCUCCUCUCCCUUCACCCAGACACGUGGUAGGGAUGGAAAAGGAUUCUUCACAGAGCACUCUGGCACAUUGUAUUGGAGAAAAAUUGAUAGAUUAGUUAAUGGUUUUUCUGAAUUUGAGAAGCAAAGAUCUGUUCUCCAUAUUCAUAUGUUCUCCCUCAACCAAGAUCUUCUAAGAAAUAAUAUUUCAGUCUUCUGCUUGAGGAGUUGACUUUGAAGCUACACCCAGUGAAAAACAUGUUCUUGCAGCAGCUCUGGUGGCAGCUGUCCUUGAAGAACCUUUGGUGUGUGGUGGGAAGCUAUCAGAACAAGAAAUGUAGCCAUUUACUCUUUUAACACUUGCGCUAUUGUCAUGUUAUUUUCCUUCUGAGAAACUGGAAACCCUUUCUGUUGCUAUUACAUUAAUAAAGUUGGUGUUUAUUUUCUGGUAAAA